GCACAGCCGGCCGGGCGCCUCUUGGAGCUGACGCCGCCCGCGCCAUCUUGACCGAGGGCAGCUUUCCACUAUUUCCAUUCCUUCUCCAUAAGGGGCCGCCGUCGUCAGUGAGGAUUGGCCUGAGCUAAAAAUACUCAAGACCCUCAGAUUGCAGUAGGUUCCUAUUCCCCAUUAGAAAAGAAGAUUCAGUUUGCUAAAGCAGAGGCAUACUACUAUCAAUAGCAUCAAUAAAUGAUGAUGGAAAAAGCAUGGAAAUACAAUAUGGUUCCAAAAUGGGAAACUAAAAUAGAGGAAGAGGAAAAGAGACCACAAAGUGAGAAAACAGAAGAUACUAAAAAAUGGGACUAUCUAGUGCCUGAGAGGGAACUGAGUCUUAUAAACACACACAUACACCGGGCUGAACGAACCAGAGGCCUCAGGGACCACAAACACCAACUGCUCCCUCAACGAAUUCCCAGUGAAAUACUUUCCCCGAAAAUACUAACACUGGAAAAGGAUGGAAAGCAUGAAAAUAUUCAGAAAACACACAAAACUAAAACCAGUAAGCACAAGGUGGCAUGGACAAAGGAACAGAUGAAGGGACAUCAAGACCAAAUGAUCUGAGGGAGAGAACUCAGAGCAAAGACACGCUCAGAAGCGCUCCAGCCCCGUUCCAUCUUUCCUAAAAUCUCAAGUGGAAAAAGAGAAUGUGAAAGAGUUUGAAUGGGUCACAGCUUAUCCAGUUUUGCAACCUUACCAGAAAGCACUUAGGAAAGUGAUGAUUCUGAUUGAGAAAAAAAAAAAAGAGGGUGAAAUUAAGAAACCACUCCGAAGGGAGCUCUUGAGUAUGCCACCAUUUUUGAGAAGUCAACUAGAAAAAAAUAAGGUUUAAAUUCUUUUAUAUUUUUUAGACUAGCAUACUUAUAUAAUCAUUAAUGCAAUAAAACAUAUACUCCCUGGUUUUUUUAA